rnacentral:rRNA from 1 species
CCUACGGGGGGCCGCAGUGGGGAAUAUUGGACAAUGGGGGGAACCCUGAUCCAGCCAUGCCGCGUGUGUGAAGAAGGCCCUCGGGUUGUAAAGCACUUUCAGUGAGGAAGAACGCCUGGUGGUUAAUACCCAUCAGGAAAGACAUCACUCACAGAAGAAGCACCGGCUAACUCCGUGCCAGCAGCCGCGGUAAUACGGAGGGUGCGAGCGUUAAUCGGAAUUACUGGGCGUAAAGCGCGCGUAGGUGGCUUGAUAAGCCGGUUGUGAAAGCCCCGGGCUCAACCUGGGAACGGCAUCCGGAACUGUCAAGCUAGAGUGCAGGAGAGGAAGGUAGAAUUCCCGGUGUAGCGGUGAAAUGCGUAGAGAUCGGGAGGAAUACCAGUGGCGAAGGCGGCCUUCUGGACUGACACUGACACUGAGGUGCGAAAGCGUGGGUAGCAAACAGGAUUAGAUACCCUAGUAGUC